rnacentral:rRNA from 1 species
GUAAUGUCUGGGAAACUGCCUGAUGGAGGGGGGAGUAACUACUGGAAACGGUAGCUAAUACCGCAUAACGUCGCAAGACCAAAGAGGGGGACCUUCGGGCCUCUUGCCAUCAGAUGUGCCCAGAUGGGAUUAGCUAGUAGGUGGGGUAACGGCUCACCUAGGCGACGAUCCCUAGCUGGUCUGAGAGGAUGACCAGCCACACUGGAACUGAGACGCGGUCCAGACUCCUACGGGAGGCAGCAUG